rnacentral:rRNA from 1 species
UACAGAGGGUGCAAGCGUUAAUCGGAAUUACUGGGCGUAAAGCGUGCGUAGACGGUUGCGUAAGUCAGAUGUGAAAGCCCCGGGCUCAACCUGGGAAUUGCAUUUGAGACUGCGUAGCUAGGGUGCGGAAGAGGGAAGCGGAAUUUCCGGUGUAGCGGUGAAAUGCGUAGAGAUCGGGAGGAACACCAGUGGCGAAGGCGGCCGGCUGGGGGUGACCUGACGCUGAGGCGCGAAAGCGUGGGGAGCGAACCGG